GAUGGCAGAUAAAUUGUAAUAGAUUGUAAAUCUUUUUAUAAGGAUCCACCCUUUC
rnacentral:tRNA from 1 species